rnacentral:rRNA from 1 species
CCCUUAGAUGUUCUGGGCUGCACGCGCGCUACACUGAUGCGUUCAACGAGUCUGCCUUGGCCGAGAGGUCUGGGUAAUCUUGUGAAAGCGCAUCGUGAUGGGGAUAGAUUAUUGCAAUUGUUAGUCUUCAACGAGGAAUUCCUAGUAAGCGCGAGUCAUCAACUCGUGCUGAUUACGUCCCUGCCCUUUGUACACACCGCCCGUCACUCCUACCGAUUGAGUGAUCCGGUGAAUAAUUCGGACUGCGAAGGGCCCGGUUUCCGAGUCCUUUGUAGGAAGUUUAGUGAACCUUAUCACUUAGAGGAAGGAGAAGUCGUAACA